AUUGAACGCUGGCGGCAUGCCUUACACAUGCAAGUCGAACGGUAACGCGGGGCAACCUGGCGACGAGUGGCGAACGGGUGAGUAAUGCAUCGGAACGUGCCCAGUAGUGGGGGAUAGCCCGGCGAAAGCCGGAUUAAUACCGCAUACGACCUACGGGUGAAAGCGGGGGACCGUAAGGCCUCGCGCUAUUGGAGCGGCCGAUGUCAGAUUAGGUUGUUGGCGGGGUAAAGGCCUACCAAGCCGACGACCUUUAGCUGGUCUGAGAGGACGGCCAGCCACGCUGGGACUGAGAGCCGGCCCAGACUCCUACGGGAGGCAGCAGUGGGGAAUUUUGGACAAUGGGGGCAACCCUGAUCCAGCCAUGCCGCGUGCGGGAAGAAGGCCUGCGGGUUGUAAACCGCUUUUGUCAGGGAAGAAACGCUCUGGGCUAAUACCCUGGGGUAAUGACGGUACCUGAAGAAUAAGCACCGGCUAACUACGUGCCAGCAGCCGCAGUAA
rnacentral:rRNA from 1 species